GAAGAUGAGCUACAGAGACAGUGGAAAGAAACUCUCUCGCUGAGAAAGAAGAUAGUCCACCAGCAGGAACACAGGCAUUGAAAGUGAGCUACAGAAAUAAAGUGCCCAUUCUGAGGAACAACGGAAUGAACCGAAUGCAUAAAACAAGUUAUAUGGACAGGCCAAACGUCAGGUCCUCCUCUGAGAAUGGAGUUAAUAAUGGAACUUGGUCUUAGGAUGCCUGAGGUUGCAUAUAUAUCAGACACACAAAAGAUACAAAAUUCAAUCUGUGCUUGAAGGGAGCUUCUCAUGGGAGAUGGAAGAAGAGCAAGGUAUGCUGGAGUGGGCUCCCACUGGAUCAUGAAACCAGAUUGUUAGCAUUUCUUCCCAAUUCUUUGUUCAGUGAGAUUAUGCUGGUAGCUUGAAAUUGACUAUGGUAGGAGUAUUUACACUAUGAAAAUUGGCAAAUGCUUUAAAGCAGGAUUUUUUUCCAGAG
rnacentral:lncRNA from 1 species